GCCCCACCCCCAGGCUGCAGCCCGCGGCCGGUCGUCAAAGACCUUGUUGUUACCAAGACACAGGGACCCUGUCUCAUCCUUAGAACCGCUCGUAAAGCCUAGGUCAGGCAGGCAGCCGCCUUAGGGUACCACGGUCGCCAGAAGCUUUAGUAAGUCAGUAAGUCUGGAAAGGUCUGUGCUUCAGAGUGCACGCCAGGGAAAAUAAACAGAAAUGCAAUGCCAGAGUUGUGCCUCUUCAGAAAUCCAAGCCCCUAAAUGUGCUCUUUUCCCAAUCACACCCCGCCCUGUGGGCUGGGCGACAGCCCUGCCAUCCUGACACCGCAGUCUCUCGAGGCCUGGGGUGUCACGUGCCAGCGGCGUUCACCUCGCUGGAUGAUUUCAGGGCGCCGCUUCUCAGGGCCCUCUAGUCGCUAGGGAGGUUCUGGAGUCAGGGCAAGGACUCAGCUCUCGACGAGACUGACUCCAAUCGCAGCCAGCAAAUAGAACUUUGAUGAAGUGUGCGGACUCCCCUGCUCCGGCCUUACCCUUUGCUACUUCGUUCUUCCAGCCGGAAAGAGCAAGGAACACGGGGGUAAAUCUCGUGAUCGGGGAUUCGUCAAUAACUUGGAAUGCGUGUUAAUUUACAAGGUGGAAGCGGACCCUGUGCUCUCUGUAAAGAGUUUAUGUACCAGAUAUUUAGCUAUGAGGUCAUAGGUAGGCUUUUUAACCGAUUAAAGAAAUAACGCAUAACCAUUUAGAUGGCCCAUUAUUAUAAUCGCACCUGUAUUUAUUUGGUGUCUUACAAGUGCUUGCUCUUGCGCGUAUCAAUUGAAUCAGCGCCUCCCAGCCUCUAGCUAACCCACUUUACAGUCCAAAGGAUCCAAGCUCUAGAUGCCCAAAGUAGCUCAUCUAGCAGGAAGUCUUUGGAAUGGGAGAUGUGACAUUUUCUCCCACACAGGCUUCCUGGGAGGCAGACCAGGGCCUCCCCCACCGCCUCACCCCUCACCCAACGCUCCAUUCUUGCCGUCUUUAACUUCUUAAUAAUUUUUGAACUAGGAGACCCUGCACUUUGCUUUGCACUAGGCCACACAUAUGAGGCAGAGGGUCCUGCGCCCCCGUCCAAGCUGAUAGAGUACGAACGUUCCACUUGGUUGGUCCUCACCUGUGCAGCUCGUAAGGCACCAUCACCACUCCAGGCAAGACCCUCUUGUUUCCUUUCUUCUGCUUGUUCCCCACCCCUAUCAGGUACCCGCUCUGAUAGUUGUCUUUUAAUGCACAGUUCCUUGGAAAAACAAAAUGAAUCUAUUUUAAAAUAAGAAAUCUAAACGAUGCUAAAAAUGCACAGCUUGCUGAGAUUUCACGAGCUGAACACACCCGUGUAAGCAGCACACAGAUCAAGAAACAAAAAUGUUAUCGCCGCCCCCCCCCACAAGACCCCUCUUCUGCUCUUUUCCAGUUACAAUGUACUCAAGAGCCACCACUAUUCUGACUUUUAACCCCAAAGAUCAGUAGGUCCUAUUCUUGCAUUUUCUACAAAUAGAAUCAUACAUUAUAUAUUCUUUCGUGUCUGACUUCUCCCGCUCGCCGUUGGCUAGAAGAUUCAUCCAUGUUGUCGGGCGUGGUGGGCAGAAUUCUAAGAUGCCCCCGGAGAUUCCUCAUCCUCUCCUAAUUCACACUUUCUCCCAGUUACUCAAUCAAACGUGAAUCUAGGUGCUGCUGUGAAGAGAUUUUGUGAUGUCAUUAAUGCCCAAAUCAGUUGGCUUCAAGAUAGGGGAGACUAUUCUCAGUGGGCCUGAUCACAUGAGCCCUUAAAAGGGACUAAGCUCUUCCUGGCGAAAGAGCUUUGAAGUAUGAGACAGAUGGACGCGAGGGAAGUUCUUCAUCGUUGGCUUUGCGAACAGAGGAGUCCGCAUGACAGGAGGUACGGGCGGCCUCUGAGAGCUGAGAAUGCCUCCCGGCUGACAGGCCCCAAGGAAAUGGGGGACCUCAGUCCUCGGAUCACAAAAAAAGACCCUGAGUUCUGCCAACAACCUGAAUGAAAAUUAGGAAGACGGUCUGAGCCCCAGCCUGUGAGGCCCUCUGCUGAGAAGCCAGAUUUAAGACCCACACAGCUGUGAGCUGAGAAUGUCAUGGCUGGACUGGAGCAUGGCUUACUUAUCUGUUCUACUGUGGACGGACCCCUGGAUAGCUGUCUCCAGGAAUUUUCCAGUGCUCCAAGAGGCUGAUUCCUGGUUUGGGGACACUUUGUCUGUGAUGAAGGUGUCUUGCAGCCGCUGAGCAGAAAUGCCCAGUGAUAACCUCAUACUCUAGAGAGACGGGGCUUGCCAUCGCGUGAUCCAAAUGCAGACACCGGAUCCCACUUCUUCCAUCUUGCUCUCGUCCAGUGCAGGCUCCUCGACACCUUGGGGGUCUGUAGAAUACUAAAAUUUCAAGAGGAUGCCCUGUGAAUACAGCUGCUUAGAAAUGUUUAGUGUUCCUUAGACACCUGAAAAGCAAAAAGGGUGUUCCUGAUGGAGAGAAGCUUAACCCGAAGGAUCAUCUGUGCCUGUAAUAAAGGUGAUGUCCUAUGAGAACUGCACUCAGAGCAAGCUUCCAACCUCAUUCACAAAUAUUUAUGGAGCACCCGCUAUGUGCCAAGCACUGUUCCAGGAGCUCAGAACACAGCAACAAACCUUCAAGACUCAGUUCAGUUGUCAUGACCCCUGAAAAGCUUUCUCACACUCCUUCAUGCCUACCUGCAGGGGGUUGUCACCGAUCCCUCGUGGGAGUUUUCAGGUGAGCAGGCUUCGUGAGCCAAGAAGCAUGCCGGCUGCCCAGCCCGACCCUGAGGGUUAUAGCUGCCUCUCUCCUUUUCCACGACUGCCCCUCCCCAGAAAGCACAGGCCGAUGCUGUUUCUGAAGAGCCAUCCGUUCCACGACUCAGGUCUCCACACUGCCUCGUGAGGCACCUUUAAAACACUUUUGUUGUAGCCAACUUGGUUAAUAUGUUGUCGUUUUCCACCUA